rnacentral:misc_RNA from 1 species
UUCACCGGUAAAUUUGAUUUUGUUCAAAACAGCCAAAAUUACUAGUAUAAGAAAUUCACAUGCACACAGGCGUGGUAAUAAUGAAACGGUAAAAUUGGCAAGGAAACGAGUUACGCACGUGAGAGAAGCUCCGCCGAAGGUGAAUUCGCCAUGAAUAGGUGGUUGAGUAAUAUACGGAGAAUAAAGAAGAGUAAGAAGCACAAACAGCGGCUUAAAAAUCGGCGAGUUUUCGGUGGCGCCGAUGAUUUGAAUCCUGUCUAUCAAUCUCUUGCAAGUUCCUUACGCUUCGGAUCGCUAAAACUUCCGGUUUUUUAGUUUCUAAUACUCUCUGCAACUCGUCGUCAAUAUUUGCUGAUUCUAUACGCUUAGCGAAGCCUUCAAAUCCUUGAAAUUGAGCUAAAUCUUUAUCAGACGGACUGUGAGAGAAUAGAUAGAGGAUGAAGAAGCAGAGAAAUGUGAGAACAGGAAUGAGGUGAAUGUACUUCUCAGCUCUAGACAAUGACUUGUUAAGAGCCUUGAUUGACUUGCGUACUUGUUCUUCUCCUUCAUCGUAGUUGUUAGAGAGUGACGACGGAGAGGCUUGGUCCUUCGCCAUUAUCUUCUGAGACUCUGCCGCCGUCACGACGGCGGAUUCGUCCCUGCUGCCGCCGACGAGGACGACUCCAUGUGCAAGGUGUAACUUCGAUCCCGAUGAGCCGAGUGAUUGUCUAUGCAUGUUGGCCGGAUUCUGGAGAUUCGAGAAUGAGAGAGAAACGGCGAUUGAGAAAGAGUGCGCGAAGCGAGUGUUUGGUAGCUG